CAAACCAAAGCUGGCGACCGGCGCACGGGUGAGUAACACGUAUCCAACCUGCCUCAUACUCGGGGAUAGCCUUUCGAAAGAAAGAUUAAUAUCCGAUAGCAUAUAUUUCCCGCAUGGGUUUUAUAUUAAAGAAAUUCGGUAUGAGAUGGGGAUGCGUUCCAUUAGUUUGUUGGGGGGGUAACGGCCCACCAAGACUACGAUGGAUAGGGGUUCUGAGAGGAAGGUCCCCCACAUUGGAACCGAGACACGGUCCAA
rnacentral:rRNA from 1 species